UAGACGCAAGGACAGAUCAUGUCAAAUACACCUAGCUACAGGCCUGAACUAAAUGAAACCAGUCUUGAUGUCUUCGGUUGGGGCGACCAUGGGGAACACAAAACCCCCACGUGGAAAAGGAGUACACCCCUAUCUUUUUCUCCUCCUACAAACUAGAGCGACAGCUCUAAUCAGCAGAAAUUCUGACCAAACUGAUCCGGCAACGCCGAUCAACGAAUCAAGUUACCCU
rnacentral:rRNA from 1 species